rnacentral:rRNA from 1 species
UACGGAGGGGGCGAGCGAUAUUCGGAAUCAUUGGGCGUAAAGGGCGCGUAGGCGGCCGGGCAAGUCAGGGGUGAAAUCCCUAGGCUCAACCGAGGAAUUGCCUCUGAAACUGCCCAGCUCGAGGCCGGGAGAGGGUAGUGGAAUUCCCAGUGUAGCGGUGAAAUGCGUAGAUAUUGGGAGGAACACCAGUGGCGAAGGUGGCUACCUGGACCGGUUCUGACGCUGAGGCGCGAAAGCGUGGGGAGCAAACAGG